rnacentral:rRNA from 1 species
AUGAACGCUGGCGGCGUGCUUAACACAUGCCAGUCGAACGAAGCACUUUAUUUGAUUUCCUUCGGGACUGAUUAUUUUGUGACUGAGUGGCGGACGGGUGAGUAACGCGUGGGUAACCUGCCUUGUACAGGGGGAUAACAGUUGGAAACGGCUGCUAAUACCGCAUAAGCGCACAGCAUCGCAUGAUGCAGUGUGAAAAACUCCGGUGGUAUAAGAUGGACCCGCGUUGGAUUAGCUAGUUGGUGAGGUAACGGCCCACCAAGGCGACGAUCCAUAGCCGACCUGAGAGGGUGACCGGCCACAUUGGGACUGAGACACGGCCCAAACUCCUACGGGAGGCAGCAGUGGGGAAUAUUGCACAAUGGGCGAAAGCCUGAUGCAGCGACGCCGCGUGAGCGAAGAAGUAUUUCGGUAUGUAAAGCUCUAUCAGCAGGGAAGAUAAUGACGGUACCUGACUAAGAAGCACCGGCUAAAUACGUG